UACGUAGGGUGCAAAGCGUUAAUCGGGAAUUACUGGGCGUAAAGCGUGCGCAGGCGGUUUUGUAAGUCUGUCGUGAAAGCCCCGGGCUCAACCUGGGGAAUUGCGAUGGAGACUGCAAGGCUUGAAUCUGGCAGAGGGGGGGUAGAAUUCCACGUGUAGCAGUGAAAUGCGUAGAGAUGUGGAGGAACACCGAUGGCGAAGGCAGCCCCCCUGGGUCAAGAUUGACGCUCAUGCACGAAAGCGUGGGGAGCAAACAGG
rnacentral:rRNA from 1 species